GUAUUGCAUUGCCAUCAAACGUUCCAUAAGACUUUGUUACAGAGUGGAUGUGGUGACGCAGAACUACGGGAAGGAGGACGGAGUCUCUCCUCUAGACCAUAGAACUACGGAGGGUGCACAGAUGUGAGUGGAUGUGUAGACAGAGCGUGCACGUGCGUCCCCCCGCUAGAGGGGGGGGCCAGCAACAGCUCGUGUCGACGAUUCGAUAAUGAUCCUUCCGCAGGUUCACCUACGGAAA
rnacentral:misc_RNA from 1 species